GGUAGUUUUCCAGUGACGGACCCUGGAAUUGGGCUCCCUCCUCUCUGGUUCCUGGGGUGUCACCUGAUACCGCA
rfam:Myotis brandtii contig177351, whole genome shotgun sequence.